rnacentral:rRNA from 1 species
UACGGGGGGGGCAAGCGUUGUUCGGAAUUACUGGGCGUAAAGGGCUCGUAGGCGGCCAACUAAGUCAGACGUGAAAUCCCUCGGCUUAACCGGGGAACUGCGUCUGAUACUGGAUGGCUUGAGUUUGGGAGAGGGAUGCGGAAUUCACGGUGUAGCAGUGAAAUGCGUAGAUAUCGUAAGGAAGACCAGUUGCGAAGGCGGAUCUCUGGGCAGUUCCUGACACUGAGGCACGAAGGCCAGGGGAGCAAACGGG